AUUGAACGCUGGCGGCAUGCUUUACACAUGCAAGUCGAACGGCAGCGCGGGGCAACCUGGCGGCGAGUGGCGAACGGGUGAGUAAUACAUCGGAACGUACCCAGAAGUGGGGGAUAACGUAGCGAAAGUUACGCUAAUACCGCAUACGUUCUACGGAAGAAAGUGGGGGAUCGCAAGACCUCAUGCUUUUGGAGCGGCCGAUGUCUGAUUAGCUAGUUGGUGAGGUAAAGGCUCACCAAGGCGACGAUCAGUAGCUGGUCUGAGAGGACGACCAGCCACACUGGGACUGAGACACGGCCCAGACUCCUACGGGAGGCAGCAGUGGGGAAUUUUGGACAAUGGGGGCAACCCUGAUCCAGCAAUGCCGCGUGAGUGAAGAAGGCCUUCGGGUUGUAAAGCUCUUUUGUCAGGGAAGAAAUCGCAGAGGCUAAUAUCCUGUGCGGAUGACGGCACCUGAAGAAUAAGCACCGGCUAACUACGUGCCAGCCGCCGCCGUAACAC
rnacentral:rRNA from 1 species